rnacentral:tRNA from 1 species
GCUUUCGUGGUGUAAUGGUAACACACUCAGCGCAUAUUCCAGAGGCCCAGGUUCGAGCCCCGGCGAAGGCA